AGGUGCUUGCACCUGAUUGACGAUGGAUCACCAGUGAGUGGCGGACGGGUGAGUAACAACGUAGGUAACCUGCCCCGGAGCGGGGAUAACAUUUUGGAACCAGAUGCUAAUACCGCAUAACAACAAAAGCCACAUGGACUUUUGUUUGAAAGAUUUGGGCUUUGGCUUAUCACUCUGGGAUGGACCUGGCCGGUGCAUUAGCUAGUUGGUAAGGUAACGGCUUACCAAGGCGAUGAUGCAUAGCCGAGUUGAGAGACUGAUCGGCCACAAUGGAACUGAGACACGGUCCAUACUCCUACGGGAGGCAGCAGUAGGGAAUCUUCCACAAUGGGCGCAAGCCUGAUGGAGCAACACCGCGUGAGCGAAGAAGGGUUUCGGCUCGUAAAGCUCUGUUGUUGGAGAAGAACGUGCGUGAGAGUAACUGUUCACGCAGUGACGGUAUCCAACCAGAAAGUCACGGCUAACUACGUGCC
rnacentral:rRNA from 1 species